UGCCAGCAUCCGCGGUACCACUGGUUGCGCAAGCGUUAUUCGGAAUUAUUGGGCGUAAAGAGCAUGUAGGCGGACUAUUAAGUCUGAUGUGAAAGCCCGGGGCUCAACCCCGGAAGUGCGUUGGAUACUGGCAGUCUUGAGUAUGGGAGAGGAAAGUGGAAUUCCGAGUGUAGGAGUGAAAUCCGUAGAUAUUCGGAGGAACACCAGUGGCGAAGGCGGCUUUCUGGACCAAUACUGACGCUGAGAUGCGAAAGCGUGGGGAGCGAAACGGAUUAGAUA
rnacentral:rRNA from 1 species